GGUCCGUUGGUGUAAUGGUAACACUACCUACCUAUCCUGGCGUAUAGCCGUGCUGGACGCGGUAUUAUGGUAGAGCGGAAGAUACCGGUUCGAACCCGGUACGGGCUA